rnacentral:rRNA from 1 species
UACGGAGGGUGCAAGCGUUAUCCGGAUUCACUGGGUUUAAAGGGUGCGUAGGCGGGUUGGUAAGUCCGUGGUGAAAUCCCCAAGCUUAACUUGGGAACUACCGUGGAUACUAUCAAUCUUGAAUAUCGUGGAGGUAAGCGGAAUAUGUCAUGUAGCGGUGAAAUGCUUAGAUAUGACAUAGAACACCAAUUGCGUAGGCAGCUUACUACACGAUCAUUGACGCUGAGGCACGAAAGCGUGGGGAGCAAACAGG